GGGCGGUUAGCUCAGCUGGUUAGAGCGUCAGUAUCACACACUGAAGGUCACAGGUUCGAGUCCUGUACCGCCCACCA
rnacentral:tRNA from 1 species